rnacentral:lncRNA from 1 species
GCUAUUAGGUAUUGAUCUGAAUGACUUAGAUAUUUUUGCUAUUACAAAGUGAAAACAAAUAUGAAAACUAUGGCUGUGGUAAAAUAACCUGUGAUUCUCUCUUUAUACAAAGGAAUUCCUCAGAUCUUGUUGCUCCUUCCCCUGAUGCUUUCCGAUCUACCCCUUUUAUCGUUCCUAGCAGUCCCACAGAGCAAGAAGGGAGAAAAGAUGAACCAGUAGAUAUGUCAGUGUUAACUGAGGGCAGGGUGGAGCCUUUUCAGAAGAAACUCCAAGCCGAUGACCCAGCGCAAACAGAAAACACAGCUCUCCCAUCUGCAUGUACUGUGCCUCCGCAGGUGUCCACGCCAGUGUCUCAGAGCACACCAGUAUUCACCCCUGGUUCCCUUCUUAUCCCAUCACAGCCUGAGUUUUCACAUGACCUUUUCAUCCCAUCACCAAGUUUGGAAGAACGAUCAAAUGAUGACAAGAAAGGGGAUUCUUGCAAGUUGAUGCUUUCUGCAAGUGAGUACAGUCAGUCCCCAAAGAUGGAGAGCUUGAGUUCUCAUAGAAUUGAUGAAGAUGGAGAAAACUCACAAGUUGAGGAUACUGAACCCUUAUCUCCAGUUCUCAAUUCUAAACUUGUUCCUGCUGAAAGUGACAGUGUCCUGAUGAAUCCAGCACCACAUGACCAAGUAGAACUGAAUCAGAAUGAUGACAAGACAAAAGGAAGUGACACAGAGAAUAAGGAUAACACGAGUAUUUUAGCCACUGGUUUCAAAGAAAGAGAAGAAACUGUAACUGAAGACAUUUGCAUCGAUCUCACUUGUGAUUCAGGGAGUCAGGCAGUUCCUUCUCCAGCUACUCGAGCUGAGACACUUUCUAGUGUUUUAGAUCAAGAGGAAGCUAUGGAAGUUACAGAACACCAGCCAGAGGAGGGAUCUUUGGGAUCUGAGGUAGAAGAAAUCCCGGAGACUCCUUGUGAAAGUCAUGGAGAGGAGUCCAAAGAAGAAAAUACAGAGAAUGUUCCGUUUCAUCUUUCUCUGACUGAAACUCAGUCCCAAGGAUUUUGUCUUCCAAAGGAAAUCCCCAAACAAGAAUGCCCAGAAGCUAUGGAAAUUGAAAGCAGCAUGAUUAGUAUUGAUUCCCCCCAGAAACUGCCAGUACUUGACCAAGAAUUAGAACAUAAAGAUCAGGAAGCUUGGGAGGAAGCUACUUCUGAGGAUUCGAGUGUUGUCAUUGUAGAUGUGAAGGAGCCAUCUCCCAGAGUUGAUGCUUCUUGUGAACCUUUGGAGGGAGUGGAGAAAUGCUCAGAUUCCCAGUCCUGGGCGGAUAUUGCUCCAGAAACAGAACCCUGUGCUGAGAAUAGAUUAGAUCCCCAGGAAGAGAAGAAUGUAGACUAUGAUGGAGGUCUGAAAUCAGUGACUACAGAAAAGGAACCUGCAGAGGAAGACUCAGCGCAGCCUCCCUUUCCCUUAGUGAGAGCAGAUGAGGCUCCUGGACCUGAGCGAGAAAUGCAGCAGUGCCAGCUUCCAGAGAAAACCGACAGUUCACUAGCAGAAGACUCCAAAACAGCUAAUGCAAAGCAGCCAGGCUCAGGUGGAGAGGCUGGGCAGCUCGAGAAGAAUUCUGCCCAUGCCUCACAGAGCUUCUGUGAAAGUUCUAGCGAAACCCCAUUUCAUUUCACUUUGCCUAAAGAAGGUGAUAUUAUCCCACCAUUGACUGGCGCAACCCCACCUCUCAUUGGGCACCUAAAAUUGGAGCCCAAGAGACAUAGUACUCCUAUUGGCAUUAAAAACUUUCCAGAAAACACCAUAGCAACCAGUGUUGUCAUGUCUGAAAGCAUGGUAGAGACCAACGAUGCCAUACUUGGGAAUGAAAAAGGGGAUUCUGGGGCUGCUCCGGAAGUGGAUGAGAAACUGUGUCUAAGAAUGAAACUUGUCAGUCCUGAAACAGAGGCCAGUGAAGAGUCUUUGCAAUUUAGUCUGGAAAAGCCUGCAACUGAUGAAAGAAGAAAUGGUUCUACUGCUGUUGCUGUUGCUGAGGCUGUUGCCAGUCCCCAGAAGACCGUGUCUGUGUUUAGCUGCAUGUGUGAAGCCCAACAAGAAGAGAAGGCUGGAGGUGAGGAGCUCCCUUCUGCCCCCAUCAGGUGAGCAUUAUUUUCAUGGUAUCUUUUGGGUUCCAUUGACCACAAAAUGCUUGAUACCAGCAUCUAACA